CUCGUAGGCGGCCAACUAAGUCGGAUGUGAAAUCCCCAGGCUCAACUUGGGAACUGCAUCCGAUACUGGAUGGCUUGAAUCCGGGAGAGGGAUGCAGAAUUCCAGGUGUAGCGGUGAAAUGCGUAGAUAUCUGGAGGAAUACCGGUGGCGAAGGCGGCAUCCUGGACCGGCAUUGACGCUGAUGAGCGAAAGCUAGGGGAGCAAACG
rnacentral:rRNA from 1 species